UUCUCUCUCUACCCCUAAUCCUUUCUCUCUAGUUGGACUCAGACUCUCUCUUUACCCCCAAUCCUCUCUCGCCGAUCAUCGUUUUCUCUCUCGUCGCUCCUCGCUUUCUCUCUCUACUCCCACUCAUUUCUCUCUCUCUAGCUCGACUCAGACUGGUUUCCUCGCUCCUCGCUCUUCAAUGGAGAGCUUGAUCUACCAAAAUUAUACUGCGAACACAGUCCCGAUUGUGCUAUUUGAGCAUAUAUUCUGUUGUGUUAUUUGAUUUGGGAGCCAAAUCGACAUCUGAUUCGCCAAAAUAGGCCAACUAUCAUCGCCAAACCAAACUGUUGAGUUCAUCAGUCUAUCCACUUGCAGGUAAAUUCCAUCAAUAUUGCUUUAUUCAUGCUUUAAUUGGGGAUUUAUGUUAAUCUUAUAAGAAACCUUAGCUUUCUAAGAGUUUGACGCUAAUUUUAGAACUUUAUUUCAAAUUUUAUCUAUCUUGAUGUAUAACUUAAUUCAAAAUUAUUGAGAAUUUUGUUGAAAUCUCUUUCAUUCUCCUUUUCUGUCGAACCAAAUGAACGUAAGAGUCCAAAGUUUUAACUUCUUUUUUCUCUGUUCAUUUUCCUCCUAUUCCUGGGUGACCAAAUGAACCGUCGGUAUCAGAGUCAGACGUCUUCAUCUUUCGUCUCCUUCUGCAUGAACUUAGUUUCUUCAAUCGCAUUGCUUAUAGUUGCCACUUUAAAGACACAAAUAUGGAUAGGAGUUGGAUUCACAGAUCAAGAGUGAGCGAAGAAUAUGUAGAAGGAGUUGGAAACUUUUUGGAUUUUGCAUUUUCUAAUGCAGCUAAAGAGGGGAUGAUCUUAUGUCCAUGCACUAAGUGUAGCAAUUGCUUUUGGAAGAAUUGUCAAGAAGUAUUAAAUCAUGUUAUUGCAGAUGGAUUUCUUAAUAAUUACACAUGUUGGGUGUUCCAUGGGGAGAGAAUCUCUUCAAGAGAUGUUAAUAACGUAAUAGAGCACGAGGACUUAGACCUAUAAGAUGACAUACAAGGGAUGUUGCAUGAUGCAUUUGGAGUUAGAAGUCCUAACGAUGAGGUGGAUGAUGCGAUGUAUUAAGCCACCGAGAGACCUAAUUUAGAUGUUAUGAAGUUUUUCAAGUUGAUAGAAGAUGCUGAAAUGGAAUUUUACCCAGGAUGUAAGCAGUUCACAAAGCUCUCUUUUAUUGUUCGGUUAUUUCAUAUAAAUUGUCUUGGUGGAUGGACCAAUAAGUCAUUCACAAUGUUACUUGAGUUGUUAAAAGAAGCAUUUCCAGAGGGUGAAAGAUUACCAAAGUCUUUUUAUGAGACCAAAAAGAUUAUUGGAGACUUAGGCUUAGGUUAUAAAAAAAUUGAUGAUUGUCCUAAUGAUUGCAUGUUAUAUUGGAAGAAGACAGCCAAUCAGGAUUCUUGUGCAACAUAUGGUACUUCUAGAUGGAAAACAUUUUCUGAUGAUGAGGCAUCAUCUUCUUCCGAUACGGUUCAAAAAGUUCCUGCCAAGGUACUAUGUCACUUUCCUUUAAUACCAAGGCUUCAAUGGUUGUUCAUGUCAUCAAAAACAGCAAGUGAAAUGAGAUGGCAUGCUGAAGGGCAUAUAGAUGAUGGGAUCCUUAUGCACCCUGCUGAUUCUAGUGCAUGGAAAACUUUUGACUAUGAGCACCUUGACUUCUGUAAUGACAUUCGUAACGUCAGACUUGGGUUAUCAACUGACGAAUUUAAUCCCUUUAAGACCAUAAGCACAUCCCACAGCACGUGGCUUGUUAUUCUAAUCCCAUACAACAUGUCCCAGAAGAUCUGCAUGAAGCAACCAAAUUUCAUCAUGUCACUACUCAUAUUAAGGGUGUCAUGACUAAUGGGGCACAACAGUCACUCCAGUAGUAACGGAUUCAUCAGGUUCGCUCCAUGCAAGCACAACACACUGGUUUUGUGCAAACUGUACAUACGAGUUCCAUACAAAAACAACAAUUUUUACCUACACAAAAUCAGUCUACCGACUCUACCUCCAAUCUGGAACAGUCAAUCCCUUCUCAAAAUUGCAGUACUAUUGAAACUGGAGAAUCAUCAAGAAUACAACAAAAGACUCGUGGAGACACUAGGUGCCCUGACAUAUGGGGCAGAUUUGAAGAAGAUCGUAUGUUUGUUGCUUCUAAUGAAUUGGGGCAGCCCAUUGAGAAAGAAGGCGAAAUUUUGGGUCAAUUUCUGGGUACUAUAGCACGGAACAGCGAGCUACUACCCUUGCAUUUUACAGAUUGGAGGAAUUUACCUGAUCAGUUUAAAGAGGAGGUAUGGAAGAUAGUCUUGGAAAAGUUUAUCAUUCCAGAGUAUGCUAAAUCAUGGGUAGUGAAAUCGACUGGUAGGAAAUAGAGUAACUUUAAAUCUAAUUUAAAGAGAAAGCAUUACAAGAAACAUGUGACUGAUGCAGAGCGACUGAUAGAUCGUGAUGAUCGAGUUCUGCCAGAGCAGUGGUAAUACCUAAUUCAAUUUUGGAACUCAGACAAAGGACAGGAGCAUAGCAAUACUAAUAGUAUCAGUCGUUCUAAGCAAAAAUAUACUCACACAGCAGGGUCAAAAAGCUUUGCGCGAAUAUGCGAGGAAGAGCGUAAAAAUAGGUCUAAUGUAGAGGAACCAACUCGGGCAGAGAUGUAUAUACUAAUGCACACGCAGAAGAAUGGACGACCAAUGGAUGAAGCAUCUGUAAAAAUUAUUAAAAAGCUCAGAGAAUAUGCAACUCAGCAACCAGAAACUUCACAACGUGGUGCUGCUAGAGAUGACAUCUUUUCCCAAGUAGUUGGUGAAGAUAGACAUGGUCUGGUUCGCACAUAUGGCUUGGGUCCCUUUUUGUCAGAUCUUUGGGGCACAACACCUAAUCGUGUGAAGUCAAUGAAGAUGGCUUCAGAGGCUAAAAGGGCUUGUGAAGAAGAAGUUCAUGAUUUAAAAGAAGAAGUGCAAAAAUUGAAGCAACUAAUAAUUGGAUUGCAGGGCCGGAUGGAUGCUAGAGAUAACCAAAAUCAACCGGGUGCACAUACUGAACAAUAUACCACUCAAACUGCCCCCACCAAUACUCAUCAGGGCUUCCUUUUUUGUGCAUUUGACGUGUCUGGCAUUGGUUGAUUUGGUUUCUCAUUGGGGAUGGCAUGGGAUAAUCUUCUACUACUGCUGUCUUCAGGUUGCUCGUAGAGAAGGAUGAUACUUGGAGGAUAUACAUAGUCUCUCCCUUUUUUUAUCUUUUUUUUUUUUUUUUUAAACGAUUUGAUGAGACAUUAAAAAUCUUUUAUUUCCCUUGUUAUUGAGACAUAGCUACACUAAUAAAUGCAUUGUAAUUGCUUCUUUUCUUUU